UGCUGUGAGGUGGCGGAGGACUGGAGAAACGUGAGAGGAGCUGGCUCAUGAGAAGAGAGACAGCACUCAAUCCUCUGGAACCAAAUGAGCCCAACCUGUCUCAAAAAGGCAAGGCUGACUUCACUAACUGAAAAGCAAGUGAAAAUUGCUGUGGGCCUGUGUUGCCCGAGACUGCCUCAAGCACAGGACUAUCAUAAGCAAAUGUUUAAAAAGGGAGGAUUUUGGAAGAGAAAAUCAACCAACAAUGGGGUCUGGACAAAGCAGUAUCCUCAAGUUGAUGGGAGCAAAGCGAGGGGCUCCUGUAAGCCUACUGCUCUAGGGGAACCUGACAGAACAGGAAUGAAAGCAACAAUUAACAUCUGUCAACCCUCGCUAUGGAUCAUGCUACACUUACUACUUCAUUUCUGUUAUUUCAUUAAAUACCCAUCACCCCAUAAACCUUAAGAGGCUGCUGUUCUUCUCACUACAUAGAUGAGAAAA